GGAGGUAGUGACAAUAAAUCACAAUGCGGAACAAUGUUUUGCAAUUGGAUUGAGAACAACGUACAAACCUUAUCGAUAAACAAUUGGAGGGCAAGUCUGGUGCCAGCAGCCGCGGUAAUUCCAGCUCCAAUAGCGUAUAUUAACGUUGUUGCAGUUAAAAAGCUCGUAGUUGAAACGAAGGGUGGUGUUGUUGGAUUUACAUUCGUGUAUUUCUUUCAACUCCUCCCUCCUUCUAAAUUCGAUAUAUGAGUAUUAAUUUACUUGUAUAUGGUUUUAGACAUUUACUGUGAGAAAAUUAGAGUGUUCAAAGCAGGCAUUUGCUUGAAUAUAUUAGCAUGGAAUAAUCAUGUAUGAUUUUCAUGAUGUAUUUGAUUGGUUUGGUUCAUGAGAAUAAGAUUAAAAGGGACAGUUGGGGGUAUUCAUAUUCAAUAGUCAGAGGUGAAAUUCUCGGAUUUAUGGAAGAUG
rnacentral:rRNA from 1 species